UACAGAGGUCUCAAGCGUUGUUCGGAUUCAUUGGGCGUGAAGGGUGUGUAGGUGGCGCCGUAAGUCGGGUGUGAAAUUUCGGAGCUUAACUCCGAAACUGCAUUCGAUACUGCGGUGCUUGAGGACUGGAGAGGAGACUGGAAUUCAUGGUGUAGCAGUGAAAUGCGUAGAGAUCAUGAGGAAGACCAGUGGCGAAGGCGGGUCUCUGGACAGUUCCUGACACUGAGACACGAAGGCCAGGGGAGCAAACGGG
rnacentral:rRNA from 1 species